rnacentral:rRNA from 1 species
GAUGAACGCUGGCGGCGUGCCUAAUACAUGCAAGUCGAGCGAACAGACGAGGAGCUUGCUCCUCUGACGUUAGCGGCGGACGGGGGAGUAACACGUGGAUAACCUACCUAUAAGACUGGGAUAACUUCGGGAAACCGGAGCUAAUACCGGAUAAUAUAUUGAACCGCAUGGUUCAAUAGUGAAAGACGGUUUUGCUGUCACUUAUAGAUGGAUCCGCGCCGCAUUAGCUAGUUGGUAAGGUAACGGCUUACCAAGGCGACGAUGCGUAGCCGACCUGAGAGGGUGAUCGGCCACACUGGAACUGAGACAUGGUCCAGACUCCUACGGGAGGCAGCAGUAGGGAAUCUUCCGCAAUGGGCGAAAGCCUGACGGAGCAACGCCGCGUGAGUGAUGAAGGUCUUCGGAUCGUAAAACUCUGUUAUUAGGGAAGAACAAAUGUGUAAGUAACUAUGCACGUCUUGACGGUACCUAAUCAGAAAGCCACGGCUAACUACGUG